CUGUUGAUGACGUAACGGCAGGCGACCGCUCCCUUUCGGCUCAUCUGUGAAAGAAAUUGUUUGUAGUUUGCCUGUUUUCGGAUGUCACGGCCAAAAUUGAGAAAGUCCACAAGCUGCCGCCAACCCUUGAAUUAUCCGUUUUUUUCUCCACAAGUGAGGCUUUUUUUAAGGACCGCUUCACUUCCCGUUAGUAAUCAUGAUUGACUGCAGCUGUUAACAUCUCCGUGCCAGCAUGAGAACGGUUUGUGUGACGGCUCCCCUUGG